GAUGAACGCUGGCGGCGUGCCUAAUACAUGCAAGUAGAACGCUGAAGCUUGGUGCUUGCACCGAGCGGAUGAGUUGCGAACGGGUGAGUAACGCGUAGGUAACCUGCCUCUUAGCGGGGGAUAACUAUUGGAAACGAUAGCUAAUACCGCAUAAAAGUCGACAUCGCAUGAUGUUGACUUGAAAGGUGCAAUUGCAUCACUAAGAGAUGGACCUGCGUUGUAUUAGCUAGUUGGUGAGGUAACGGCUCACCAAGGCGACGAUACAUAGCCGACCUGAGAGGGUGAUCGGCCACACUGGGACUGAGACACGGCCCAGACUCCUACGGGAGGCAGCAGUAGGGAAUCUUCGGCAAUGGACGAAAGUCUGACCGAGCAACGCCGCGUGAGUGAAGAAGGUUUUCGGAUCGUAAAGCUCUGUUGUAAGAGAAGAACGGGUGUGAGAGUGGAAAGUUCACACUGUGACGGUAUCUUACCAGAAAGGGACGGCUAACUACGUGCCAGCAGCCGCGGUAAUACGUAGGUCCCGAGCGUUGUCCGGAUUUAUUGGGCGUAAAGCGAGCGCAGGCGGUUAGAUAAGUCUGAAUUAAAGGCUGUGGCUUAACCAUAGUACGCUUUGGAAACUGUUUAACUUGAGUGCAGAAGGGGAGAGUGGAAUUCCAUGUGUAGCGGUGGAAAGCGUACAUAUAUUGGAGGACUCCUG
rnacentral:rRNA from 1 species